rnacentral:rRNA from 1 species
UACGUAGGGUGCAAGCGUUUAAUCGGAAUUACUGGGCGUAAAGCGUGCGCAGGCGGUUGUGCAAGACCGAUGUGAAAUCCCGGGCUUAACCUGGGAAUGGCAUUGGUGACUGCACGGCUAGAGUGUGUCAGAGGGGGUAGAAUUCCACGUGUAGCAGUGAAAUGCGUAGAGAUGUGGAGGAAUACCGAUGGCGAAGGCCAGCCCCCUGGGAUAACA